UACGUAGGGUGCAAGCGUUGUCCGGAAUUAUUGGGCGUAAAGAGCUCGUAGGCGGUCUGUCACGUCGGCUGUGAAAUCCCGAGGCUCAACCUCGGGUCUGCAGUCGAUACGGGCAAACUAGAGUAUUGCAGGGGAGACUGGAAUUCCUGGUGUAGCGGUGAAAUGCGCAGAUAUCAGGAGGAACACCGGUGGCGAAGGCGGGUCUCUGGGCCGGUACUGACGCUGAGGAGCGAAAGCGUGGGGAGCAAACAGG
rnacentral:rRNA from 1 species